rnacentral:rRNA from 1 species
UACGAAGGGUCCAAGCGUUAUCCGGAUUUAUUGGGUUUAAAGGGUGCGUAGGCUGGUUAUUAAGUCAGUGGUGAAAUCUUGCAGCUUAACUGUAAAAUUGCCAUUGAUACUGAUGAUCUUGAGUACGUUUGAAGUGGGCGGAAUAUGUCAUGUAGAGGUGAAAUUCUUAGAGAUGACAUAGAACACCGAUUGCGAAGGCAGCUCACUAAACUGUAACUGACGCUGAGGCACGAAAGCGUGGGGAUCAAACAGG